GUUGAAAUCAAAUUGCUUGGCAACCCAAAAAAGGCUAGAAAGGAUAUCAAAUGCUUCUGUUUUGAUAACGUUAUUGAUUCCGACAUAACAAAUUAUAAGGACUAGGUUGAAUCAAUCAUAGAGCAGUACUCGCCUCAUUAUUUGGAAGUUACACAUGUUCAGUACUAUGAUGAUUUUCUUAAAAUCUACCCUGAAGUAACAUCUGAACAAGAGUUGGUGUCUAUGUUUGAGAAACACUCUAAGACAAAGGUUGUGCACAUGUUUGUUGCAUAUGUGAUCCAUCAGAACCAUGUGAGCCUAUCAGAAUGGCAUAGUGAUGCGCAUAGCCAACCUAACAACAUAGAACGAGAUGACGAUGAUUAUCUUCGCAACCCAGUACCUGAGAAUGGGCAUGUUGGUGUUGAUGAGGAAAAUAUUUAUUUAGAGGAUGAACCUGUACCUCUUAUCAUGGUUCCUUGUUCCAAUAAAGAAAAGGACAAAGACUAUGUUCCUGAUCAUCACAGCAAGGCUAAGAGCAAGGAUGAGAGCAUGUGAGAGGUUGAAGUAGAGGAAGAUGAGGAAUAUCACGAGGCAGUUCAUGCACCACACUUUGAAUAUGAUAAAUUAGAUCCUCCAAUGAACGAAGGAAGAAAAUAUACCAAUAUGGCAGAGUUUAAAUAGGCGCUUUCUCAGCAUGCAAUCAAACAUGAAUUUGAGUUUGACACCAAAAAGAGUGCACCACAUAGGUUUAGAGCUUAUUGUUCAAGAAGGGAUGAAGAUAAGUGUCCGUGGAGGACAUAUGCUUCUACAAUGGAAGAUGAGUGCACAGUAAUGGUGAGAAAGAACCCUUGUGGUCAUGAUUGCUCUAGUACAAAAAGAACAAAGAAGUUGAAGAAUGCAAACAAGCGGUGGAUAUGUGAGCACGUGAAGGAUUGGUUAAUUGAGGAUGCAACUCUAGGACCAAAGGAAUUGCGAAAGAGGCUUAAAGAGCAUCAUGGAAUCAACAUCAACUCUAAGAGAGUCUAUAAGGGUAAGCUGCUAGCCUUGAAGGAACUAUAUUGUGAUUGGGAUACAAGCUUUGAUAAUCUGUAUAGUUUCAAGGCGCAAAUUGAAAGUUGUUUCCCCGAUAGCAUAGUGACAUUGACCAUUACACAAUAA
rnacentral:rRNA from 1 species